UACGUAGGCAGCGAGCGUUGUUCGGAGUUACUGGGCGUAAAGCGUGCGUAGGCGGUUUUGUAAGUUUGGUGUGAAAUCUCACGGCUUAACUGUGAGCGUGCGGGCGAUACGGGCAGACUAGAGUACUGCAGGGGAGACUGGAAUUCCCGGUGUAGCGGUGGAAUGCGCAGAUAUCAGGAGGAACACCGGUGGCGAAGGCGGGUCUCUGGGCCGAUACUGACGCUGAGGAGCGAAAGCGUGGGGAGCGAACAGG
rnacentral:rRNA from 1 species